rnacentral:rRNA from 1 species
UACGGAGGGCGCAAGCGUUGUUCGGAAUAACUGGGCGUAAAGCGCGUGUAGGCGGCCGGGCAAGUCGGGUGUGAAAUCCCGAGGCUCAACCUCGGAACUGCAUUCGAAACUGCUUGGCUCGAGUCCCGGAGAGGAUGGCGGAAUUCCCGGUGUAGGGGUGAAAUCCGUAGAUAUCGGGAGGAACACCAGUGGCGAAGGCGGGCAUCUGGACGGUGACUGACGCUGAGACGCGAAAGCGUGGGGAGCAAACAGG